AGGGCGGAUGCCGAAAAGCCCGAAAAGAGUAGGCA
rnacentral:ncRNA from 1 species